UAUAUACUCCCUCCGGCCGGAAAUACUUGUCAUCAAAAUGGAUAAAAGGGAUGUAUCUAGAUGUAUUUUAGUUUUAGAUACAUCCCUUUUUGUCCAUAUUGAUGACAAGUAUUUUUGGACGUAUGGAGUAUAAU
rfam:Triticum aestivum genome assembly, contig: Triticum_aestivum_CS42_TGACv1_scaffold_486011_6AS